rnacentral:lncRNA from 10 species
CAUUAGACUCGCACAGGAGCACAAACCCUAUCGUGAACUGUGCAUACAAGGGAUCCAGGUUGCACGCUCCUUAUAAGACUCUAAUGCCUGAUGAUCUGAGACUCCCCAACAAGUGCACAAAGAAGAGAUCAUGUGAGCACACGGGGAUAUUGCAGCUACCUCCAUGCCAAGAAAAGAGGCUUCAGAGUAAAAUUUACCUCGCCAGCACCUUGAUCUUGGACUUCCCAGCCUCCGGACCAUGAGAAACAAAGUUGUGUUGUUUACGCCCUCAAGUCUAUGGUAUUUUGUCAUGGCAGCCUCAGCUGACUGAGACACACCUCCCCAAUUGCUUCACUUUCUGAGGACUUCCUUACUUUCUGGCACUGCAAGAUGUUCCAGGCUCACCUUGUAUAUUUCCUGCCCCAGCCCUAGAAUCAGCCACUUCUGUAAGGAGCCGGCUCCUGUUAUUGGAGAAUAGUAUUGGAAACCAACAACAGGCUCCUAGGUAGCAAAUUAUUCUUGGAUGGACACACUAGAAAACAGUUAUUUUGUGCCUCCUAUGUGCCAGGCACUAUGCUAGCUCCUUUUCAUGUUGGUUUACUUAAUCCUCAUAACAAUUCUAUGAAAUAUUUACUGUCAAUCCUCCCCAGAUGAGGACUGGAGGUGUAGCUGGGUUGAGUGCUAGCCAACACCACUCUGUUCUGUCUCCAAAGCCCA